rnacentral:lncRNA from 1 species
UAGUGUAGUGGCAGCUAUCAGCUAACGUUGGUAUCUGUAAACUGGACGUGCAAGUGUCUUAAACUCAGUUUUCAGUCCAGGACACGAUAAACAGGUUCGAUACGUAUAAUGGUCGGUCCACAUUUACCGUUUGGUUACUUCCAUCACACCAAACCUAGGUUAAUGACAUACAAACUGUAAAGUCGCUUGUAAUGCCACUGUUAGCUAACUAGCUUGCUGCACUAGUGAUUCAGAUGUAACGUUCAAUAUCCCCACCGCUAUGCAAUAAUCAAUUAUAGCAAACGUAAAAUGACAGAAAAAUAUAUAUAAUUUAUGUUCAGUGCAAGGAAGGUUUGGUAGAAAAACUAUUUCAAUGUUUUAUCUAACGUUACAAAUUCCGUUGAGCUUUCGCAUUUCCUUCUGAUUCCGUAAACAACCGCACUUCCGAGAUUAUAAAUAUACGGGUCGUGAUUUGGGACAAUCUUAAUCGUUUCAGCUGAAUGGGUGUCUGUUAAAGAAUGACGCUUCCUGGUCAGUAUUCAGUACACAGAGCGUUAAUGGUAAUACAUUACUCGUAUAUGUACCAGUUUAUUUAUUUCUUACCAAUUGAUUAAAUAAAAUUGAAAACACACAGUUUGACAUUUAAGUGGAUCACCGGAUAUUCACUCAACUCCCUCCUUCCACCGAAGUGCGUCACACAAAGCAGAGACCGCCGUCUGGUCACGACGGGAAGGAGACAUGCUGAGCCACUUCCUAAUGUCGUGUUUUUAAUAACGUCUCAGUAAAUGUACUGGUAAAAGUAGACUCCUGUCGAAACUUGGACGAACGGUAAAACCAUACCAAAAUGUCGGCGAAUGAUUUUCAGACGAAGUACUCUUCUGUCAUGGAGAGCAUGCUCAAUGCUGCAAUUGCAGAGACUACGAAACUUUUCGAAACUAUGGUCGAUGAGCUGAAGGCAGAACUAUCCAAAAUCAAGAAGGAGAACGAGGAGCUCAAAACAAGAUGCUGCCAGUUUGAGAAAGCGAGAAACCAACCGACUGUUUGUAACGUUACCAGAGAAAGUGAGCAUCUUCCAGGGCCUAGCGACGGCUCCGAGAGACGUGACCGAGCGAUUCAAUGUGACCUUGUUCCUUUCCGCACGGUGCUAGUGGAGCAAUGUCAACCUUUGAGGCCCCAGGAGAUGGAGUACAGUUUGCAGGACCACAACUAUGGAGAGGGAACUACUCAAAUGGCCUUCAUAGUUGUCAAACAAGAGGUGUGUAUAUCUUAGCAAUCAACAAACGUAUUUUAACUUUGAUGUCUUCUUGAAAUUAAAACGUAUAUCAUCCCGCUGCAGGACUCUUAUGAUGAUUCUUCUCCGCAGUCUGUUGUAAAGCAAGAGGAAGUUCAGGCCACUGCGGUUUGCGGGCUAGUCUUGAGCGAUAAAGCAGGUGAGGAAUUAAAACUGACUUUUAUUUUCUCAACUAAAGUUUGAUCAUUUGUAAGCUUUACAAAAUGUUUUGCGGUUCGCUACUCAAUAUUCUUACCUUUUUUAUUUCUUCUCCUGUUUCCUUUGUGACUUCUGUCACUGCGGUGCCUAGAUUCACCACAGGCCUCUGUUUGUGGAGCUGAAAAUGAAGGGCCUCUCCUUAACCAGGAAU